rnacentral:rRNA from 1 species
AAGUAGGGCGGGACACGUGAUAUCCUGUUUGAAGAUGGGGGGACCAUCCUCCAAGGCUAAAUACUCCUGAUUGACCGAUAGUGAACCAGUACUGUGAAGGAAAGGCGAAAAGAACCCCGGUGAGGGGAGUGAAAUAGAACCUGAAACCUUGUACGUACAAGCAGUGGGAGCCCUUUAAGGGUGACUGCGUACCUUUUGUAUAAUGGGUCAGCGACUUAUAUUUUGUAGCGAGGUUAACCGAAUAGGGGAGCCGAAGGGAAACCGAGUCUUAACUGGGCGUCUAGUUGCAAGGUAUAGACCCGAAACCCGGUGAUCUAGCCAUGGGCAGGUUGAAGGUUGGGUAACACUAACUGGAGGACCGAACCGACUAAUGUUGAAAAAUUAGCGGAUGACUUGUGGCUGGGGGUGAAAGGCCAAUCAAACCGGGAGAUAGCUGGUUCUCCCCGAAAUCUAUUUAGGUAGAGCCUUGAGCGGACACCUUCGGGGGUAGAGCACUGUUUCGGCUAGGGGUCCAUCCCGGAUUACCAACCCGAUGCAAACUACGAAUACCGAAGAGUGAUACUCAGGAGACACACGGCGGGUGCUAACGUCCGUCGUGGAGAGGGAAACAACCCAGACCGCCAGCUAAGGUCCCAAAGUCUAUAUUAAGUGGGAAACGAAGUGGGAAGGCUUAGACAGCUAGGAUGUUGGCUUAGAAGCAGCCAUCAUUUAAAGAAAGCGUAAUAGCUCACUAGUCGAGUCGGCCUGCGCGGAAGAUGUAACGGGGCUCAAAUAUAGCACCGAAGCUGCGGCAUCAGUAGCAAUACUGUUGGGUAGGGGAGCGUUCUGUAAGCGGAUGAAGGUGAAUCGAGAGGUUUGCUGGACGUAUCAGAAGUGCGAAUGCUGACAUAAGUAACGAUAAAACGGGUGAAAAACCCGUUCGCCGGAAGACCAAGGGUUCCUGUCCAACGUUAAUCGGGGCAGGGUGAGUAGUCCCUUGCGGAUGAAGGUUGAACCGGUCGAAGAUACCAGCUGGCUGCAACUGUUUAUUAAAAACACAGCACUCUGCAAACACGAAAGUGGACGUAUAGGGUGUGAUGCCUGCCCGGUGCUGGAAGGUUAAUUGAUGGUGUAAUCGAAAGAGAAGCUCCUGAUCGAAGCCCCAGUAAACGGCGGCCGUAACUAUAACGGUCCUAAGGUAGCGAAAUUCCUUGUCGGGUAAGUUCCGACCUGCACGAAUGGCAUAAUGAUGGCCAGGCUGUCUCCACCCGAGACUCAGUGAAAUUGAAAUCGCCGUGAAGAUGCGGUGUACCCGCGGCUAGACGGAAAGACCCCGUGAACCUUUACUAUAGCUUGACACUGAACAUUGAAUUUUGAUGUGUAGGAUAGGUGGGAG